CCCCCCAGGCUGACUGGCUCCCCGCGACUCCUACUGCCUAAAACUAUCAUCCUGCUGUACUCAGAGUGGCCAGUCCUUCACCAGCCUCGAGUGUCACCUUUCCGUGGGACAUAGGCUUGUGUUCCCCAAAGCGUGGCCCACAUCUCUGCUCUCACUGCAUCCUUCCAGUCGGCUCCUGUCCUGCUGCCUGCAGAUGCCAGCUAGUAAACAGGGGAAAAACUCACAGAAUGGAAUUGCUGAUUCAGUAGGAGGUAAACAUUCACAAGGCAUCUGAGACACUCUGAAAAUCUGCGCUCCAUAAAUUUCACAAAUGGACAUGCCCAACAGUAAGAUCCUGUUGGAGAAAACUAACUAGCAUCUUCACAGCGAUGAGCCUUUUAUUCCAUGAGCACAGUGAGAAAAUGCAGGUGUCAGGAGGUGACACCACCCCGUGACACUGAGGAGAUGUUUUGCCAAAACGACUGAAAAUCAAGUCUUAGAGCAACGAGCAGCUUUCGACUUUGCUCCCCCUUUGCCACUUACUGUGCCUGGUUGCUACUUUCAAUGUAAACUUCCCCACUCUCACACAUUGUUCACGUGUCUCCAAGAAGCACUCUCCUCCAGUCAUCCUCUGUGGCAUCUACACGGAGUACCUGCAGGCACGUGCACUGUAGAAUGUAACACCACCACACCAGCUUUCCAUUUCCUCAGUGAGCAUGGGAGAUUGCACAGCGGUGCACGGUGCCCUGUCAGAUGUAAGGGGAUACAGACACGAGCCACAGCAACAAGUGUGUGCAGAGACAGCAGGCCUCACCUGCCACCGUGUGCAGUGUCCAGCACAGUGUCCAAGGCAGCAUCCAGCAUAACGUCCGGCAGAGUGUCCAGCACAGUGGCCCUGAGUUGGCUGCGGCCCAGCUGCCCCUCAACCCAACUUGAACCUGGUCUUGGAGGCACGAGGAGCCAUGAACCACCUGGGUCAAAAAACACCACCAAGAAACAAAUGCAUUUCCUCUGCACCUCCCUUUGCUCAUCAUCAGGGCAGAUGUGCUGCAAGUGCUUUGCAUGGGGCAACUGUGCCCCACCCGAGGUCCCUUCCAUUUCCACAGUUCCUGGGCCUUCAUACUCAAUGCCAGUUUUGGGAUGAGGUUGCUUCUGUCUGAGUGGGCCCCACACCCUCCAGAAACCCUGGUUUCUCUCAUUUUCCACGCUGAGCUCAGCACACUGAGUAGCCUGUCCAGGGUGACCUUUCAUUACACAGGGCCCCAUCACACAUGCCUCUGAGAUGCACCACCAGCUCAGGCUAGCUGGCCACCCCCUGCCUUUAGUCUCUGGCCAUUUUUUUCUUUUCUUUUCCCUUGUUUAUUCAGGAAUGCAGAAACAGACUUAUCAGACAUUGCCUUGAAAGGCAUUAAUAGGUUAAAGGCAAACCAAACCCAAAGCCAAUCCAGGCAUCAUUUUCUGUGGAGAGGAUACAGACAUCUCUGGUGCAUGGGACUCUCCACCCCUCCCCAAGGGACUGGAAGCACUCCAUAGACACCUGCUGCCCCAGAUGCCCAAGACCUGAUUGCUCCUGAGGCAACUUCCACUUGUGAUCACGUUUUCGUGAAGGAAAAACUAGGGAGAAGAAUAUGGAAGCAGCUCACGGCGUCUGAUGGUUCUGUUUGCUGAAGCUAGUCUGGCCUCUUUCAGGACUGAAUGCGGAUCUAAAGUCAUCCCUGCAAGCUGUUUUAGAACAAAAUGACAAGCCUCUAAGUAACUAGGUUGCUAUAACCAGGUGAUUUCAGGUUACUAGAGGCAGUUUGCAGGAAGGUGUUCCUCCCCCAGUGUGAAUUCCAGCCUGCAGAAGAGCAGCACUGGGCAUGGGGACAGAGGCUAAGGACAAAGAGUUUCCUGAAAAUGCCCUUAGAGCAGAAGUCCUGUGGGAAAAGGGAGUGCAGGCCUGGCAGCGUUCGCCUGCCCAGUUGGAUGGCCUGUCCUGGGUCAGAGCACCUUCGGCUUUCAGGAAGCUCUGGCCACAGACAGACACAUGGCUUUGGGGGACAGGCCCCUGCUGUGGACACCAUGCUAUUUCUGAGUCUGGACUGGCCACAGAGAAUGAGCAGGAGGGACCCGAAAACACACCGAGCUGGAAGUGGCUGCAUAACACGGAUCAGGGACCUGUUUGUACAAAAUGGGUGGUUGUUCAAAGAAAUAAAUGUCAUCAAGACAUGUUGGCCGCUACUCAGUGUGAAAUUUCUGCACAGUGGGGGGAUGUGAUUAACGGGAUGCCCUGAGCUGUGCCCACAACUGCCCCUGAGAUCCGGUUCUGGAAGCAGGACCAGUCAGCCAGACUCGCUGAGCACGUGCUCCCCUGUCUGCUGCCCUCAGUGCUCCCCUGUCUGCUGCCAACUACACACGUGCUCCCCUGUCUGCUGCCAACUCUUCACAGGGCCCUCAGUGCCGAAGGGGAGGGGUCCUUGACCAUAUUUUGUGAUUGACUUCUUCUCCCAUUGUCCAGACUAACUUCUUAGGGUUUGAGGUGUGAGAAUAGGUGCAUCCCCCCAAGGCCGAGUCCUUUCUUUGACUGCUUUAGACAAUCUGAUCCUUUAGGAUGCCUCUUCUCUCCUGCUAAAAUCCAGAAGAAAUAGGAAAAAAAAAAAAAGUCCUUACUGCCCUGACUAACACAGCUGAAUCUUGCUGGCUUCCUUAUCAACCUCUCCACCCCAGGAACUAUUAACCCUAGAUCAACAUAUCAAUUAAGGUCGAUUUGGAUUGGAUUACAAAUUGCAAUCAUCUGAGCGAGAAGGCGGCGGUGUUGGUACUGGAGAGUGUACUGUGCAGCUGAGGAUAGAGGGACAAACCAGGGCCUGCCUGAGCGCCUCCUCCGUGUCCUAAUCAUCACCAGCCAGCAGCUCUGUCACUGGACCGGGGGUGUGAAUACCAGCGUACACCACUGUGACAAUGGCAGCUGCGUGCGUGUCAUCCUCACCGUGAACUGGAGUGACUGUGGGCUGCCGCCUGGCUCCAGGCCCGGGCUCCUCGCUCCCCUCCAUACUCAGGCCUGCACACUCCUGGAGCUUUCUCUCAGUCUGGGAGGCCACUUCUCUGACCCUAAUUCCCAUCUUCACACAAGAAGUUCCAGGCCAUAAGAAAUAAGCUGAAGUCUGAGCUCCUCUGCAACCUCAUCCACAAUACCUCAAUGUAUACUGCCCACAGAUAAGCAAUCCAGCUCUGAGACAUUUUUAAAGGGGCCGAGAUGCCUUCGCUAAAGUGGUCCAGGAAGAUGAACACAGAAAGCCAUCUUCUGCGUUAUUUGAGGAUUCAAUGGGAACAAGGAGGACCUUCCCCGCAGUCCUGAGAAGAGAUUCCACAUUCCCGAACGCCUGCCUCCAGACUCUGAGCUCAGAGAUGAAAGUGGACAACAUUCACUCAGCAAAGACGUCCUGGGCGCCUCCUACGUGCCAGACACUGUUCUAAGAGGACGGGGUGUGACCAAAGAGCCCUGCCCUGGACACGCUGACAGUGAGAGGGUGCUGGUCUGUCUUGAUGUGACGAGUAUGCGCCUGCCUUUGGCAAGCUGGCUCAUCUGCUGGCUGUCAAGACUUUACCUUUUCACAGAGCCAAAGCCAGCCUGGAGAGGCUUUCCCUCCAACUACCUUGGUAGGGAGAGUGAACCGUGGCCUGCCAGCCGGGCCUCCAGAACCACAGCCAUCAGCACCACCACACCUCAGGUCCUGAAGUCACCUGUCUAGAAAAAACAAACACAUCUCAGUGUGGGGAAGCGCGGAGCCCGCGCGGAGCGAUUGUGAGGGGCUCUGCUGGAAUUUGGCAGCGCGGAGGCUUGGAGAGCAGCCCCAUGCUGGCUCCUAUUCAGCCGGCCAGUUCUCCUCGAGCUUUGGAAGUUUCGCUCAGCCGUGCACUCAAUGGCUUCACAAAGCUGAUUACAAGCUUCAGCGCAUUCCUGAAGGAGCCAAAAGCGACGCAGGUGCAAACGAGCCGAGGGAGCCCCUUAUCCCGGUCAGCGUUUGGGUGUUUUUCGGCUGUUCCCCUUCCCUUGGGAGGCGUUACCACCACCGCCACUGCCGCCACCACUGCCAUCUGAACAAAACAAACAAACAGCAGACCUGAGCAAGAAGCUACAGCCCCUGAAAGUGCUUUCUGCGGAGCAAGAAUGGAAUUGCUUCCAGAUUUGUUGACUUCUAUGAUGGACUCAUAGCUUUAAAAAUCUGUGGAGUCACACCUUGGUCAAAAAUAUUACAAUAAAACAUUUGCAAACAUUUUUAAUUUUAAAUACAGUAUCUUUAAAUGGUCCAUGUUAACAUCUUAGAGACAAGAUAUCUACAAGUAAAGUUACAAAACUUAGAAAUCAUAUUUCAUCUUUUGAUGAUAGCAAGAAAAAAGACACUGCUGAGAAUAUUGUUUAUAGUAAAUUCAGUAUAACUGCGGACAUUCUACAUGCAUGUAAACUUGAUAUGCACACACUGUAUUUUUACAUAUUUACUUUUGGAGUAUUAUAUAAUUAAUGAAGAAUCGAUUCAGCAAAAAUGUGAGUUGAGUCUACUUUGCCAAUAAAUUGGGAGUAUCUCAUAAACAAUUUUGGGUAAAAUUUAGAAAUUAUUUUUAUUGUAAAAGGAACUCUCCUGUUGCUCAUUGUUAGUAUGUCCACUUAAUGUUCUAUUUUUGGCCAAAUUAAAUUUAACUAAAGGAAAAGGAAAAUGUAGAGUACCAAGAAUGAUCAAGAUUCUGUGGGUAAGUUAAUUGAAAUGGUUUAUUCUUUGUACUAAUUCCUUGGAAAAUAUCACUCUUGUUAUUUGAGACUUGUGUUCAAUUAAUAAGAAACUAAUAGAAAUAGUUAUU